rnacentral:sRNA from 1 species
CUAGAUGCCACCAUCUGAGGUCGGUUAUCAAGAGUAACCGAUUUCAGAUGGUGCUAG